ACUCUGCGCUAAAGAAAGCCAUU
rnacentral:snRNA from 1 species